UUAAGUUCAGCGGGUAUUCCUACCUGAUCCGAGGUCAACCUUUAAAAGAUGGGGUUUUACGGCAGGAGCCCGCCCGACACCCGGAGCGACGUGUAUUACUACGCUCGGAGUCGGGACGAGUCCGCCGCUGUCUUUCGGGGGCUGCAGGCGCAGGUCCCCAACACCAGGCGGAGCCUGAGGGUUGAAAUGACGCUCGAACA
rnacentral:misc_RNA from 1 species